GCUGUGUAUGUUGGCUAUUGUAGGUUCAGAUUUGCUGUUUGGAGUAAGAUGUACCUAGAUAGAAUCUAUCGAUCUUGAUAGAAAAAGAGAAGUCCUAUGCGAUUCGCAAGACUGAGUUUGAGAAAUCUCUGAUUAGAGUAAGUGUGAAUACUGAAAAAGAGUUUUCAUGAGAUUUGCAGAUGAACUCGAGUCGAGCCAAUCUAGCAUAUGACUGAUGAUGGAGUUUGACGAGUUCUCCAUGACCUCCGUCAAGUUGAGACUCAUAAUAGAGGAAUUGUA
rnacentral:lncRNA from 1 species